CCAAGUGCUGUGAUUAAAGAUGUGUGUCAGUACAGCCCAACUACAAGUGUUUUUUUUUUAAAUAAAGGCAUAUAAUUACACAAUUACACAACAAACACCAAUUGUUUGAACUGCAUAAAUAAGACCUUUAUUUUUUACAAUUAUUUAUUUUUUAAAAAAACCCUAAUACAUUCUUACUGAUCUCAUUUUACCAUGGGCAAAAGAAAAAUUUAUCAUCAACAGUUUGUGGGCUGGCAUUUGCAAAUCACCAUCAUAGAGAUAUAUUUAAAUAAACAAAUAUUAUCCUUGGCUACAGAGUGAGUUCAAUACCAGCCUGGCCUACAUGAAACUAAACAAAACAAAGCAACCCACAAAAGGCUUUUUAGAAGAGAUGGCACCAAGGCAGGGCAGUCUGGGAAGAGAGGAAACAGAGUGAGUCAGGGGUUUCUGGGUGAGGGAAGAAUGUAGGUAAGGCACGAGGAAUGAGGUGAGCAGGAUGUAAUGACACAGACAUGUGGCAACCCUGCUCAGGAGGAACGUGCAUCAUGACAAGGUGACUAAUGACUAAUUGAGAAUGGAUACUGGAGUUCAGUGGGUUCAAGUAAUUCAGCACACAACUGGGUAGAAGCAGAGACUUUUGAGCAAACACCAUUACACACUCAUGCUUAAGUGAAAGUUGUCAGGCAUUCAGGAAAUAGAUCCACAUUCAUCCAUCCAUUUACCAAACAUUUGCUUCAGACCUAUUGUAUGUGCCCGUCCACCUGACAGUGGUAAAUGGAGGGUGAACGGCACCCUCCCUCACAAAGCCAGGCCUUGCUCUUGCUUUAUGUUCAGGUGCGCCCUUGCCUGGACCUCAGUAACCAUGGCCUACUCAAGUUGCCUUUUUUUCCCCUAGUGAGCUUUUAUCACCACGAUCUGGAUCAGGUGCCUAGCUUUUGUUAUUGAAAUAAUACUGCUGUUAAGUAAUGGAUCUUUCCUGUUCCUCUGAAUCAUACUCAAUUCUGCAGUCAGAGGAACUCUCUGAGAUGCCAAUCAGAUUGUGUCACGGAUACGUUAGUAUCUUCCAUCCCCUUCAUGAUGGAGCCCAGUUCUUUGACAUUCCUCAAGGCUUUUCCUGAUCUGUCUCAUACACCCAUCACCUGUCUCCUUCCUCCCACAAACUCUUCAGUUCUUUGAACAGGUUUUUUUGUUUGCCUGUUUGUUUUGUUUUUAUCCUUCUGGGACUUCUGAGGCCCUUUGCAUCUGACUCUUCACCUCAGCAUUGCUUGUCUUCCUAAUGUCUUUUCUUAGGUGGCCUUGCUUCCGGGAAGCUUCGUCAGGGUUAGAGUUCUCUUCUUUGUGCACUUCUGUAGUGGACAGGUUUGAAAGGGUGCCUCUUAUUGGUUCCUGGUUCCCUCCAUAAGCAACUUGAGGGCAGGGAAGCAUGUAUCCCUGGAGUCUAGCUUCCUUCUUGGUACACUGUAGGUGCUAAGUAAGUACCUGAAUGAUAUGAUGACAGAAUGAUAGAACAAUUCAUCAGCUCAUUUAAGAAAGCAUUGGCAUAAAGCUGGGUGUGGUGGUGCAUACCUAUAAUCACAGUAUCUGGGAGAUAGAGGGAGGAUGACCAGGAGUUCAAGGUUAUCUUUAGUCAUAUAAUGAGUUCAUAUUGGCUUACAGGAAUCCCUGUCUAAAUGUAACCCCCCUCCCCCCCAAAAAAAUAGACAAACAAAAAUGAAGCUCUUAUACAUCUCUUUAAAAUGCCAGAAAAUGUUCUUACUACAUUUUAGAAGUAAAUAUACAGAGUAACCAAUGGUUUUGUUUUUAUUCCUCAUCCACAUCUACAACAGUACAAAAUGUGCAAGGCUCUUUCUGUAAAAUUCUGAGUGCAACCAAUCUGUGGCACAGGCUUAGAUUUAGCUUCCUUUAUUCAAAUCUCUGGAUUUUGUUUUGUGGUGUUUUUUUUUCCUCUCCAUAAAAAUGAGAAACCAAAAUAACCCCUUACCUUAAAAAAUAUUUUUCCAGAUCAAUCUGCAAAUAAGCAAACUUUGCAAACAGCUAGUGUCACGGUAGCCUGCUAGAAUAGCAGCUGGAAGGUCUGCCGCUGUAUGCAAUCAGACUGAAUGCAGCUUGAGUUUGGCCAGGACACCACAUCUGUUUGAAAAACGAAGAAAUUGAAUUGGAAGCAUUUCCCCAGGCAUAUGCAGUACUUAUUAGCCCAUAAAAUAUUUUCAUAGGUAUCAAUAUAGAAGUUUUCAAUUUUUGUAUGUUUCAAGAAAAUUGCUACCCAAAGUAAGGUAGAGUGCCAUGUGUCUCUGAAUUCUUUGUUAUCUUAAGUUGAGAAUAAUUCCCUACUCGGCCUAUUUAGUUAGUUUGUUAUUUGAUAAUUUUAAACAGGUACGUAAUGCAUUUUGGUCACUCCCCUGCUUUUAAAUCUUCCUCCCAUCCCAAUCAAUCGUCCUUCUGACCAGUCCCUUUGCAGCCCAUCCUGUUUAACCAGAGACAUUUAUGUGACUAUUGGACUGGAACUACCCACUGGAGACUGGUGAGGUCACCAGUGGACACACUAUUGAAGAUAAUACUUCCCUCUCUCAAUGAGUUUAUCCGUGGAAAUCAUCAGAGAGGGCUAGGCCCCCUGAGCCCCUGCUUUUUCUAGUCCUGACUAUGAACAGACCCACUCUUGCUCAGAUCCAGUGCAGGCAUCUGCUGCUGCUGGGUUUAUGAUGCCCAGAAGAUGCCAUUACACAUCCUUUCUCCCUAUCCUCUGGGUCUAACAUUCUGAUGCUUCUUCUGCAGUGUUUCUUGAACCUUAGAGGGACUAGUUAGUACAAAUGUCUUGUUUAGGGCAGAACAUCAUCACUUUUUCUCAGCACAAUUGUACAGCCAUGAGCCUUUGCACUCCUCACUAUUCCCUGGAAAGAAAGGCUGCCCUGAUUAAGGCAGAAAACAGAUUUUUUUUUUCUGUUGGUAUAACUAUAAACACAUAGAAGGCAGCUUGAUGCUAUGUCAGUACAGCUAAGCAUCAGUAUUCAGUUCCACCUAUGAUCUCCCUUGCUAUGGGAUUUAGACCAGGUUUUUAGUAACAUAGAUGGAUUCUCUCCUACGAGCCAGCCUCAGAUCUCGUCAGAAAGUUGGCAAUUCCUCCUAGCACUAAUGUCACGGUUGUACAUCUUGUCUGCAAGGCUGGUCUUGAAGAUCACAGGUUCACAACUGGGUAAGACCAUAGAUGCUCUUUCUUCCCCAGCAGCCUGCUUAGUAUUUUCUGGAACAUGAAAGCUAGCCAGUAGGAAGAAGCUUCUCGCUCAGUUCAGGUUGAUUUCUCUCUAUCAUGCAACCAAGGUACUUUUAGCUGUAAGGUCUUAUUUAGUUCUGAUGGGAGACCAAGAGAAGUGGCAAGAGGUUGUCUUGCUGUGGGGGUCUAUGGGACUUACUAACCAAUAACUACAGGUGUUAGGGCACGGCCUCACCGGAGAAGGGGAAGUGGCGAACCGGAUGCAGAGCUGGGGGCCAGCACCAAAGGCCGGAGCAUGACAAGCAGGAGUAGCCGGCCAGGGUUGGGCCCCAGCUCGGUGGCCACACCCACUCAGGGCACGGCUUCACCAUGGCAUGGCACCGGCUCUGCCAUGCUACCCACGCUCCGCCGACGCCGCUGGCCGUCUCCAUAGGGAGGUAUUCCACUCUUGGCACGGGGUUUUUGUUCAGUAACCUCCAGCUUCUUGAAGCAGUUUCAUCCAGUCAUGCAGGCUAUUUCCCUUCAAAAUAUUUUUUGUAUUAUGAAUUAUAUUAUUAACGUUGGUUACAUGAUAGUAGGCUCCACACGGCCUUUUCAUGCCCCUUCAUCUAGGUUUACCUCCCUGCAACCCCUUCGUCUCCCGAUUCCCCAACUGCCUUUCACGUAAAGCUCCCCGCCCCGGUAUUACCAAUCUCCACUUUUCUAUUAUCUACCUUCUAUUAUUAGCCCUCCACUACAGCAUUCCCCUCUCAAUGGCCUCUCUCCACUUUUCUGGCAUCUACCAGUGCUCUGAACUGACACACAGAAUUAAAGGUUUGAAGCUGGGACCCUCAUAUGAGAGAACGAGUGGUAUUUGUUUUUCUGUGCCUGGGUUACCUUACUCAGUGUAAAAUUACCCCCAUUCCAUCCAUCUGUCCUGAAAUUUUUAGUUUCAUUUUUUUCCUAUAGCCGAGUAAAAUUCCACUGUGCAUAUGUAUCAUGUUUUCAUUAACUGUUCAUUGGUAUUCCACAGCUAUUGUGAAUAGAGUGGCAGUGAACAUGAAUGAGCAAAUUUCUCUCGAGUAGGAUCCAGAGCCCAUGCCCACUGGGCCUGUUGUGAAAAGUGGCAGGGCAUGCCUAGGAAGACGGCUUUUUUGUGGGACAGGUGGCUUGAAGACCUUUGUUUUGGGCUACAACCAGAGAGGUCGAGUCCACAGGAUCCUGAAAUUCAGAAACAAUUGUGAUGGAGGACGAUAUGCUAGCUCUUCCCUGAUCUUGCACGAAAUCAGAGCCCCUGGGAGAGGCAUUUGGGGUCACAUCUGGAUGGCAGAGGAGGUUUGGGAACGGGGCAUUUCCUACAUUUUGGAUCAAAACACAUUACAGGGAUGGCGCGGAGAGCUGUGAAACGUGGUGUCGUUUCUGAUCCUGAGGAUGUCCAGGAGGCAUAACUUUCGUCAGUGAUAAUGCAUACCUUCAAGGGACUUUUCAACCGUGGCUGGGAGAAAGAUUGGUUUUCAUCACAAAAAGAUCCACAGGAAACUUCGAAAGUAUAGUUGGGGCUUUCAUUUUGUAGCCCAGGCUGGCCUGGAACUUACACGUGGCACGCUCCCUGCAUCAGCUUCCCAAGUAGCAAGAUUUCUGAUAGGAGCUACCACACCUGGCUUGAAGUAAAAUUUCUACUGAAGACUUACUGUAAUAAUUGCAAGAAAUUCUUGUAAACUUUGUAGGAAAAUUACCAGGUUUGAGAUUUUUCCAUUGCAACAGGGGCCCAGACCUUAGCACAUGACUCCAUGAUGGAAGUACCAGUCAUGCCAUAAAACUCAGCACAUAGACAUCACCACCUGCCUUUCUCAGCAUGGGCAAUAAAUUAUAUGAACAUCCUUCACAAGAAGCCCCUAGAUGAAAAUAUACUGUUAAAUAAUGUUGGGAAACAAAUCAUCUUCCAUCACAUCCUAGAAAUGUGUAAGUAUCGGCAUCAAAGAAGUGUUAGGCAUACUUAACUUAGUUUAAUUCUAUGUUUCCUAAACUUGUUUCCUGGUGUAAUUCCUCUUUUCAUGCAAUAAAUAUUAGUAUCCCACAGAACACACUUAAAGCAGUGCAGGAUACUCAGAGAUUUUUUUUUAAACAUUCUUUAGCUAAUGGCUUUCUAGUGUAGAAGAGUUUGUAUGCACUUUCUGUAAUUAGCCUCUCUCAUGUUUUGUAGGCUGUGGCAAUGAGAUAAAUAGUUACCCGCUAAAUUCAUGAUCACAAACUCUGAGAAUAUCUCUGAAAUUCAGAUUCAAUUUAAGUUCAGUAAAAAUUCAAAUUUUGCCUCUUAUAUGUGGUUUGAAUGAAAAUGGCCCCCAUAGACCCAUAGGGAGCGGUGGUAUUAGGAGGUGUGGCCUUGUUGGUGUAGGCAGGGCCUUGUUGGAGGAAGUGUGUCACUGAGGGUUGGCUUUGAGGUUUUGGAAGCCCUAGUCAAGCCCAGAGUUACUCUUCUUCUGAUGCCUGGUGAUCUGCAUGUAGAGCUCCCAGCUACCUCUCCAGCAGUGUGUCUGCCUGCAUGCUGCCAUGCUUCAUGCUGUGGUUGCAACGAACUAAAUAAACCUCUGAACUGAAAGCUAGCCCCAAUUAAAUUCCUUCCUUUAUAUGAGUUGCAGUGGUCAUCUUGGUGCUUUGUUGUCAUAGAAAUAGAAACCCUAACUAAGACAUAUACCAAGCUGAGGGUUAUAAUAAAUAAUGUAAAAUAACUAAAUAAAUAAGUAAAGAUGACUUUUAUCCUCAGCCUUUGAAUUAAUAAGUGGAUCGGUUUGACUACUCUGUGUAAUGUUGUUUUCCUAUUUUUUGGUUGAUUGUUUUCAUGGUUGGAGUUCUGGAUCUUGUCAGAUUACAGAGUGGGAGAGUACGAACUCGUAGAACAGACUGAUAGCGCACGUGCUGGGAGGACACAGAAGCCUUUCCCAGCUGCGCCCUCAGCUUCUAUCAGCAGAUCUGGUCAGUGACGGGCCAAAUCCGUGCAAGCCUCUGACUGUCUGCUUCUGGGUUCUGUGCUGGAGAAAUUGAUCCUGGAAAGAGCUUCUGGAAAGACAAGCAUGCAGGCUUAGUUGAAGCUCCUGGCUAGCCAUGGGGAGGCUCCAGACAUCUACAAUCCAGCAACAUGGUGAAGAGCCAGUGUCAGUCAGCUUUGCAUCAUGGUGACUACUAAAUACCUGAGAUAAAUGGCUUUAAAGGAAGGAAAGCUUGCCUCACAGUUACUAUGGUCUCAGGCCUUAGUCACCCGGAUCCAUUAAUUUGGGGAACAAGGUAAAAGAGAACAUCGUAAUGGGGACACAGGAUGGAGCAAGGCUGGUUUACCUAAUGGUGGAUAGUGGAGAGAGAGACGGAGGUGGGCUUGGAACAAUUUGUACCCCUCAAAGUAAUACCUCGGUGAUCUACUUCACCUAGGCCCUACCUUCUCACUGUAGCCCAGUCAGCUAUGAAUUUAUCAAUAAAAUCAAUGGACUAAUCCAUUGAUGACAUUAGCACUCUCAUGAUCUAGUCAUUUUGAUACUGACCUAGCUUUAAACACAUGAGCAGUAAUCCAAAUCCAGAUGAUAAGAGAGGCCUUUCAGGCUAAGGAGAACAUCAAAGCUCUGUCCAAGGAGGCAGAGACUAAGAAAUAAAACUCUGCCUCUUGAGUCAGCACAUUGUGACCUUUGUGAUUACACAAAGUCAAAAAUUUUCAAUGAUGAGACACAGAAUAAAACAAAAAAAUAACAUUUCACCUUCUAAGAUACAGAAACAAGGCACAGAGAUGAGAUUGCUCAAUUAUCUCCAGGAUCAUUGUAAAAUAUUUCCCUAAAGGGAUGCUAGGCAAGUAAAGCUUUAAAGAAAAUUAAAAUGCCAGGGUGUGUGCAUUUUUGCAAAGAGAACUACACAGAGCAGCAAUCCUAGUUAAGUGUGUGUGUAAGGCGUGUUCUCAGCUGCUGGGAACAGGUUAAGGAGUCAGGGAAAUGAAAGUGUAAAGACACAACUGGGAUUAAAAUACAAAGACUAUUAUUUAAGGAGACUAAAGUCUGACCUCUGGUUUUAACUACUCGUACUGUAAGACACCAGUCAGUUCACUGUGAUACAACACAAAGGGACAGUGAAACCUUUAAGAGAAACUUCCUUAGGUGUGGUAAACCCGCACCUGAGAAAUAAAGUGCUGACUCACCACCCUGAGCAACAGCGUUGGGACACACCCUUUCAAUAAAAGGAGCAGGAGUCUCAUAAACUAUUUUAGCAAGACCUUCCUCCAGGAAGUACUCGGUCACUUUAUGGAGUGUGUGUGUGUGUGUGUGUGUGUGUGUGUGUGUGUGUGUGUGUGUGUGUAUACAUAAUAGCAACAUGAUAUUUUUCUAAAUGAAAGUUUAAUUCUGGGCUUUGAAUAUCCUUUAGGUUUUCAUCAGUAGAAUAAACAAUUUUCCUGGUAUUUUAAAGGCUUUUCUAGUUUAUCUUUUAACAGUUUUUUAAUUUUAUUUUUAUUUAUGGAAAGUUUUAUUAUGAAGAUUUUUAUUCACGAAAAUAAGUUGUCAUAGCAUAUGCCCUAGUUCAAAGUGACCUAAGCCUCACGGCAGUCAGGGCUCCAGUGCAGCGAGCACAGCUGGCGGCAACAUCACAGCUGGGUUUAAAACCCUUGCUGUGGGGCCCAUCUAGAACCCCACACUUCCCACCAGCUGGGAAGCUGCUCUGCUCUACUAGAAAUUGUGCCACAAGCCUCACAGUGACCUCACCAGAGGUCAGGUCAGGGGAAACCAGAAGGUCAGAGGUUUUACAGCUGCUGACAGAGUCCUUGGAAAGGAUUAUUUUGGAAUAUUUAUUUCUAUUUUGCGAAAGAAGGGAACGAGAGGGGUCAGAAAUAGGAAACCGACAAGAAAAGAAGCCCGUCAGCACUCAAAACUGAUUACUGGGGAAUUACUUUGUGGCAAGGAAAAAAAAAAACAAAAACCAAAACCAAAAACCAAAACCCCACAGAGUUCCAGAAACUUCAUUUAGUGACGCUUAUCCCAAAGGGCUUUUGUUGGGUGUAUUUUGCUAAAAUAAAUGUGCUUACCUUAACUCUGUAAUGAGCUUUGAUUUGCUCUUGCCAGUUUUCAUGAUGGUUGCCAACUCGAUGGAAAACAAGAAACCUUCCAGGACGUGGGACACCCGGCAGUGGCAAGGCAGGGUUAAGUGGCCAUCACCCUUAUUACUGUAACUAUUUUAGAAUAAAGUCAGAUACUGAGCUGUGAUCUCCAUUGGCAAUGAGAAGACCGUUACUUAUAGCAGACUUCCUGAGUUCAGGAAAGGAACCAUGGUUCUCCCUAGUCCACACCAGUUGGUGUUUGACUCUCACUCUGUCCUAUGCUUUAGCUGUUGUGGCAUAACCAUCUAUUAAAUAUUAACUGAGUUGUUUUCUUGGAAUAUACUGAAAACCUCUCACUGGGAUUAGAUGGCCAUGGUGCCUGUUUUAUGGCAUAGAGGGCAAUGUGUAAGUUAUAAUUCGGAGAAAUGACACUCAAGUUUCUGCUUAUUUAGUGUUUGACCACUAACUUCUUGAGGAGUAUAAACUCCUCAGUCUCAGCUUCUCCGUCUUUAAAAUGGGGAUGAUGACUGCAAGAGAUUAUGCACCAAAGUAUCUCAUUGAAGCAAUAAAGCGCUCCCCACUGAUGUCUCAUUUCUUUCCCAAACCUCUGCUUCCCAUUCACUUCUUGUAGAUCCUUCACCUCUGAACUGGACAAAAGUGUAGGGCAUGGAGUGCUGGAUGCUGACCUACGAAAGUGCUGCACCACAGAUCAUACUGAAAAUAUGUUGUCUAUAUACGCAGCGUUUGACCUGCUCUCCUCCAGAAAGUGAAGAGUUUCAGUCCAUUGUUACCGAAAGAGUCAAAUUCUUGUGUAGAAAUAAAAAGACAAAAUAAAACUGUCCUUUGCAAGAAUCA